rnacentral:rRNA from 1 species
UACGAGUGCCUCAAGCGUUAUCCGGAAUCAUUGGGCGUAAAGGGCGCGUAGGCGGUCAGCACAAGCCAGUUGUGAAGUCUCCGGGCUUAACUCGGAAAGGUCAACUGAUACUGUGCGACUAGAGUGCGGAAGGGGCAACUGGAAUUCUCGGUGUAGCGGUGAAAUGCGUAGAUAUCGAGAGGAACACCUGCGGCGAAGGCGGGUUGCUGGGCCGACACUGACGCUGAUGCGCGAAAGCCAGGGGAGCGAACGGG